rnacentral:rRNA from 1 species
UAGUCAUACGCUUGUCUUAAAGACUAAGCCAUGCAUGUCUAAGUAUAAAUAUUAUACAGUGAAACUGCGAAUGGCUCAUUAAAACAGUUAUAGUUUAUUUGAUAAUUGCUUUACAUGGAUAACCGUGGGAAAUCUAGAGCUAAUACAUGCAUAGAGACCUGACUUCGCGGAAGGGUUGUAUUUAUUAGAUAGAAACCAAUACCUUCGGGUGUUGUGAUGAUUCAUAAUAACUGAUCGGAUCGCAGCUCGCUCUGCGAUGAAUCAUUCAAGUUUCUGCCCUAUCAGCUUUCGAUGGUAGUGUAUUGGACUACCAUGGCGAUCACGGGUAACGGAGAAUUAGGGUUCGAUUCCGGAGAGGGAGCCUGAGAAACGGCUACCACAUCUAAGGAAGGCAGCAGGCGCGUAAAUUACCCAAUCCUGAUUCAGGGAGGUAGUGACAAGAAAUAACGACCCGUUGCAUGCAUAAUGCAUCGGGAUUGUAAUGAGAACAAUGUAAAUAUCUUAGCGAGGAACAAUU